GAUGAAGAACGUAGCGAAAUGCGAUAAGUAAUGUGAAUUGCAGAAUUCAGUGAAUCAUCGAAUCUUUGAACGCACAUUGCGCCCGUCAGUAUUCUGGCGGGCAUGCCUGUUCGAGCGUCAUUACGCCCCUCAAGUCCCCUCUGGACUUGGUGUUGGGGAUCGGCGAGGCUGGUUUUCCAGCACAGCCGUCCCUUAAAUUAAUUGGCGGUCUCGCCGUGGCCCUCCUCUGCGCAGUAGUAAAACACUCGCAACAGGAGCCCGGCGCGGUCCACUGCCGUAAAACCCCCCAACUUUUUAUAGUUGACCUCGAAUCAGGUAGGACUACCCGCUGAACUUAAGCAUAUCAAUAAGCGGAGGA
rnacentral:misc_RNA from 1 species